rnacentral:rRNA from 1 species
UCAGAAACUCAAAGGAAUUGACGGGGCCCGCACAAGCGGAGGAGCAUGUGGUUUAAUUCGAUGAUACGCGAGGAACCUUACCUGGGCUCGAACGUAAGAUGACUGUAGGUGAAAGCUUACAUCUCUUCGGAGCAUUUUACGAGGUGCUGCAUGGUUGUCGUCAGCUCGUGCCGUGAGGUGUCGGGUUAAGUCCCAUAACGAGCGCAACCCUACCUUUAGUUGCCAUCAGGUAAUGCUGGGGACUCUAAAGGAACUGCCUACGCAAGUAGUGAGGAAGGCGGGGAUGACGUCAAAUCAGCACGGCCCUUACGUCCAGGGCUACACACGUGCUACAAUGGCCGAUACAGAGGGCAGCUACCUGGUGACAGGAUGCAAAUCUCCAAAGUCGGUCUCAGUUCGGAUCGGAGUCUGCAACCCGACUCCGUGAAGUUGGAUUCGCUAGUAAUCGCGCAUCAGCCAUGGCGCGGUGAAUACGUUCCCGGGCCUU